UCUGUCUGUCUGGCAAACCUGAACAUGCCC
rnacentral:piRNA from 1 species